GAUGAACGCUGGCGGCGUGCCUAAUACAUGCAAGUCGAGCGAACAGACGAGGAGCUUGCUCCUCUGACGUUAGCGGCGGACGGGUGAGUAACACGUGGAUAACCUACCUAUAAGACUGGGAUAACUUCGGGAAACCGGAGCUAAUACCGGAUAAUAUAUUGAACCGCAUGGUUCAAUAGUGAAAGACGGUUUUGCUGUCACUUAUAGAUGGAUCCGCGCCGCAUUAGCUAGUUGGUAAGGUAACGGCUUACCAAGGCAACGAUGCGUAGCCGACCUGAGAGGGUCAUUGGCCACACGGGCACUGAGACUGGGUCCAGACUCCUACAGGGGGCAGCAGUAGAGAAUCUUACGCAAGGGAGGAAAGCCUGACGUAGCGAAGUGGGGGGAGUGAUGACGGUCUCCGGAUGGUAGAAUGAUGUUAGUAGGAAAGAAGAAAUGUGUAAGCACCUAUGACCGUCAUGACGGUACCUAAUCAGAAAGCCCCGGCUAACUACGUG
rnacentral:rRNA from 1 species